rnacentral:tRNA from 1 species
GCCGACGUAGCUCAGAGGUAGAGCAACCGAUUCGUAAUCGGUAGGUCGUAGGUUCAACUCCUACCGUCGGCACCA